GAUGAACGCUGGCGGCGUGCCUAAUACAUGCAAGUCGAGCGAACGGACGAGAAGCUUGCUUCUCUGAUGUUAGCGGCGGACGGGUGAGUAACACGUGGAUAACCUACCUAUAAGACUGGGAUAACUUCGGGAAACCGGAGCUAAUACCGGAUGAUAUUUUGAACCGCAUGGUUCAAAAGUGAAAGACGGUCUUGCUGUCACUUAUAGAUGGAUCCGCGCUGCAUUAGCUAGUUGGUAAGGUAACGGCUUACCAAGGCAACGAUGCAUAGCCGACCUGAGAGGGUGAUCGGCCACACUGGAACUGAGACACGGUCCAGACUCCUACGGGAGGCAGCAGUAGGGAAUCUUCCGCAAUGGGCGAAAGCCUGACGGAGCAACGCCGCGUGAGUGAUGAAGGCCUUCGGAUCGUAAAACUCUGUUAUUAGGGAAGAACAUAUGUGUAAGUAACUGUGCACAUCUUGACGGUACCUAAUCAGAAAGCCACGGCUAACUACGUG
rnacentral:rRNA from 1 species